rnacentral:sRNA from 1 species
AGGAGCGGCGAAUUUUUGGGGGGGUGGGUGGGGGGCGCCACUCACAGCCCCAGGUGCUGCUGGAGGUGGGAGCCGCGGCGCCUCCUGAACACAGGCGGGGUAGUGGUUCCGAGUCACCGCAGCGGGAGACCUGGGUGGGGGAGGGAAGAAGCCGGAGCCGCCGCAAGCCACACGAAUUUUUAUUUGUUCCUGCAAAGCUGCUGAAGCUCAGAAGCUGAUUCUAUCACAUUGUAAGAUGCCUUUGGAUAAUUCUACAGUCCUCUUAAAUGAAUCUUUAGAACUUGGCAAGUCUCACUAGAUACCUUCAAUCAUCAUUUUGAGCUCAAAGAAUUCUGAGACUUAUAGUUGGUCAUAUAGAAGAGUACCUUGAACCUAUAGUUUCCUGAAGAAUCAGUUUAAAAGAUCCAAGGAGUACAAAAGGAGAAGUACAAAUGUCUACUACAAGACGAAAACGUAGUAUGUUAUGUUGUUUACCG